CUGGCUCAGGAUUAACGCUGGCGGCAUGCCUAAUACAUGCAAGUCGAAUGGUUAGCUUGCUAACCAUGGCGAACGGGUGAGUAACACGUAGGUAACCUGUCUUCAAGACGAGGAUAACCAUUGGAAACGAUGGAUAAUACUGGAUAGGACAAAUCCCCGCAUGAGGAGAUGUUUAAAGGAGCAAUCCACUUGAUGAGGGGCCUGCGGUGCAUUAGUUAGUUGGUGAGGUAACGGCCCACCAAGACGAUGAUGCAUAGCCGGACUGAGAGGUUGAACGGCCACAAUGGAACUGAGAACGGUCCAUACUCCUACGGGAGGCAGCAGUAGGGAAUUUUCGGCAAUGGGCGGAAGCCUGAACCCGAGCAAUGCCGCGUGAAUGAAGAAGUAUUUCGGUAUGUAAAGUUCUUUUAUUUGGGAAGAAAAAACAAAUUGACGGUACCAAAUGAAUAAGCUCCGGCUAACUACGUGCCAGCAGCAGC
rnacentral:rRNA from 1 species